UCAUACGUCCUAUCGUGUGUGCCUCGUACCUGCCGUUCGAUAUUCGCCUUUGCGCUUGAACGCUAGAGCAGAUAGUUCAUCGAGCUAGAACGGCGUUACCGUACCACAGCGGGCGUCGGCUCGAGGCGUGUUUCACCCGACGUAGAAUCGGAACUCGACGUCAGUUUGUGCUUGGACAGUCUGCGGAUGCAGGCUUGCCUUCGCUGCACGACACGCUGGAGAAACAUGGCUGUUCGGAUAUAUCCUGGGAGCCGCCUCUCUCCUUCGUGAUCAUGCAUGGAAUGCGUUGUUGUCGGUUGGCAAUGCGGGUUUGUGCUUGACACCCACCAGUGGGUAGGCACAAAGAACACUAAACCCGUGUUCGCAUCCGAUUCGCUGGACCCUUUUUUCUAGAAGGUAGCAUGUGAGUUUGUUCGCCAUUAAUGAGCGCUGAGGCUCCGUUAGCGGACCAUCAGUUGCCAGUGCUACACUCAGAGUGAGUGUCCGGCCUUCGGCUAUCACGAUGAUGCCCAGCUGCUGCUGUCCUUCAAGGAGCUCGUUGCGCUCCUGCAUCCAGCGCGGGCACUGUAAGCCUAAAUAUGUCAGCGUCUUGGGGGUCUCAUCCCCACAGCAGGGACAGUGUGAUUCCCAGUGCGAUUCCAGUGUUCCCAUACGGCUUAGAGCCCGUGCUGGUAGCCAGAAGCCACCAACGCGGAUUUUCGCGAGCCACUGGGUACCUCGAGCAAGUCCCGGGAACUCCAGCGCCUCCCACCAGUACUUGCAUGUGUAUGCUAGGUUGUAGUUCCGGUAUAGAGUCAAGCCGGCGUUAAGGGCGCGACUGACUGCAUGUCUACAUUCCCGUACUGUUGUUUGGACCGUUCGCUUCAGGCGACGGGAGAAUUCUGUAUUCCUGGGGAACGAUUGGAGCAUGUUGUCUCCUAAGAGGCGCUUCACCCAAAUCUGCGUUGAUUUCAUCCAAGUGUUCUUGCGGUGCGUUGGGGUCUGCAUGAAAACCCGACUCAAAGAGGUGCGCAUAGUGCGCCCUUUGGCCCGUAUGCGUGCCCGGCAACCUGGUGCUAUCGCUUCUAUUGAGAGUAUUUGGAGUUCAGGUCCGAGUGCCAGCGGGGUGGUUGCUCUGCUCUGCACUGAGCAUCCAACAACAACGAGUCUCAUUGCCCUGUUGGCGGCUGUCUGCAGACGCGAGGCAUUUGGGUGCUUCAUGCCGCACCAUUCAGCACCCCAGGUCGCAGGCUGGAUGAUACACAUCCUUCGUGCCCUGGUACGGAUUGCUAAGGGGAUAGAGGGGUCGGAUAGGACUGGGCGUGCGAUCGCUGUACGUCUAUGCAUCUUGGCGAUCACCACGUCGACGUGUGCCUUUUCGUCGAGCGUCGGCGUGAGACCGACCCCCAGGUAGCGAUAUUUUUCCACGAUCGGAAUUUCCUGAUUCUGCAACCGCCACGAGCGAUUGCGAAUGCUCUGCGAGUCUCCAUGGAUGACCAUGACGCCGCACUUCGAUGCUCCUACGUUCAUCUCCCAGCGAUCGGCCCAGGCGCUGACUUGUUCCAUGCUAGCCGCAAGCGUUUCCAGGGCGGGUGCCAACAGCACGACAUCGUCCGCAAGUAGAAGGCCUUCGAGGCAGUUCCCAUGUGGGCGCUCCUCACCGAGCAUCUCCACAGUCUAUCCACGGCGCCUCAGCCGCGAAUUGUCUGCAGUUGUUCAGCAGAUCGUUGAUGAAGAUGUUAAAACGGAGCGGGGAUGCGCGCUCGCCCUGCCGCAGUCCACGGCGGAUUCUUAUGGAAGGGGUUCUUCAGCCGUCGCCCAGUCGGAUGCGCAUCCACGAGUCUGCAGAGAGCGCACGGAAGAACGCCAAGCACUUUGCGGAGACUCCGGCUCGUUCCAUCUUCAAAAAUAGGGCCUCGUGCGGGACCGUGUCAAAGGCCUUUUGGAAGUCAAUGAAGCAUACGUAAGUUGGUUGUCGGUCACGAAUAAAGCGACGUUGCGCCACUUCAGUGAGGGUCAGGGCAUGGCUCAUGCACUCCUCGCGGCUCCGGAAUCCAGCCCUCCCUGGGGCGAAGAACUUGCGUUCCUCGAGGCCUCUCUGGAUCCGGUUCGUGAGGUUGGCGCAAAAGUAGCUUCAUGAUUGACGGGAUGAGGCCGAUAGGCCGGUAGUUGUUCGUGUCUGUGUAUGUGGGAGUCCUUUUUGAGGAUCGGUGCGACCUCGGCAGCCCUCCAUACAUCAGGGAUGUAGGCUUCUUCAAACAUGCGUUGGAUGAGCUCCAGAAGGCGUUUGCCUAAGAUUGUGUCAGGUUUAUCUGGUAUCGAUGGUGUCCCUGUUGUCUCGUAUUUUGGGAUCACCAGUUUCAUCCACUCGGCAGCGAUACCGUCAAUGCCAGGUGUUUUGCGGUUGCAUGAGCUUAACAGGGCCCGAACAGAUUCAGGCCAGAAGAUUGGGUCGUUCCAUUCCGGUACCGGGUCGAGGCGUGGUAGUUCUGCAGCAUAUUGGUGCCAAUAGUUUCGGUUUCGGCAGUGCCCAGUUGCGUCUUCAUGUAAUUCUGUGCCGUGGUCCGUCCAGGCCUCAUUCACUGAGGCACUCUCCGUCCUCAGCGCUUUCUUAUAAAC